AUCGAUUAUAAGUAUGAACGACCCGCAGCUUGGCUAGGUGUUUUCAUUCCUCUUCUCGAACCAUCUUCUGUUGUUCAUUCGGAUUGAGUUGAACGCCAAAAUGACUGAACCUCCAAAAUAUGCCUACGCCUAUCCCUAUCCUGCUCAAGGUCAAUAUCAAGGACCUCCAGUAAUGGCGCCUCCACAGUAUUAUGCUGCACCACCGCCUCGGAAAAAUACUGGUUUCCUUGAAGGAUGUCUGGCUGCUCUGUGUUGCUGUUUCCUAAUCGAUGAGUGUUGCUGCGACCCCUCCAUUAUUUUCAUCUGCUGAUAAACAGGAAACACCGCACUGCUAUCACUGCCUACACACAUCAAACGCUAUUUACGCAGAGACUUGUAGAAGUAUAUGAUUCUGCGUCGUAAGCUUAUAUAUGAUGAUGCCGUGUUGUUGAUAGCUGUCACCCUAUCUUCCAACUUCGAUCUUCAAUGAUGUACAAACAAGUUGUUCCGCUAUAGAUAUUAAUUUUAUCUAUGUUUUUCUUAUUGAAUUGCUACUUAGAUGAAUUUCUAUGUUGUAUCCGCUCCAGUCUAUUUGAUUUUAGGUCUUAGAAAUUGUGAUGUGUUUGUGUAUGUGUGUGUGUGUGAGAGAGACAAAUACAUAUUUUAGAAUUGGUCAUGCUUUUGCUUUCCAACUGCUAUUUCUCGUGUGGAAAAAAAGUAGCAUUAGUCUGAAGUCCAGCCCCCCACCACCGAGGAUGUGUCAUGAGUUUGGAUUUAUUUCUGUCCCCACCUCUUUGAAUUUUUGUUAUUUAAUAAUGCUAAACUGUAUUCUUUUGGAGUAUAGUCUAGUUAAGAGUUUUUACUGUAUAACGAUUGAUUGUAAAAUAAAAAUAUACUCUUUUUUAGUUUCCCAAAAUUAAAUAGUUUUAUACUAGUACAAAAAUUAGAAAAUAAUGAUAUUUAAUAUAAAGUAUAAACUAAAUUAAAAGAUAUAAACCACAAAACAUGACUUUAGUGAUAGUAAAAAACGAAACGUCGCUUCAUUUUGAUGGCACCAAAACAUCACAAUUCAAAAUAAUAGUUUUAUUGGACAAAAGAGUUGUGUGGCUGAUAUUUAAUUUUAAUUGACGAAUUAGCCGAUUAUACAUUAUAUUAUUUUUAUUAUAAUAAAUUUUAUAGGGUGAAGAUGGUAAGAUGAAUGAGUCUACAUUACACAUAUUUGUAAAUAUAGGUCCUUAAGGAAUGCCUAACUGCGUCGAGUUGAAUUUAUGACUCUGAGAUCAUGAGUUCAAAUUUAAAUCACCUGUAUUCUUUUAGUUGUUGAGCUUAGUUUGUACAUAUCUCUUGCAUAUGGUUCAUUUAGUUGUUGAGCUUAGUUUGUAAAUGAUCUUGCAUAUGGUUCAUUUAGUUGUUGAGCCUAGUUUAUAUAUAAUUGCGAGAUCAUAGUUCAAACCUUCCGACACUAGUUGUUGAACCUAGUUUGCAUAUGGGUUUAAACCCUCAACACCUUCAGAUCACCUGUUACAUAUCGUUCGCUUAAUUGUCGAGCUUAAUUUGCAAAGUCUUAAAUUCGAUCAGAAAUUUACCUGGUGUCAAUUUUUGAAUUACAGCUUUAAUACAUAAUAAUAAUAAUAAUAAUAAUAAUAAUACAUAAAUACACACAUCUCCAUAUGCAUACUUGAACUGGUUAAAGAAAUACUGGUAAACAUCCCGAGAGAGAGAGCUAGAGAGACUGAGCAGACAAUCAUCUACUCGGCAGCAGCUAUCUCUUUUACUGCCUUCAUCACUUAGCCGGAGAUUGCACCACCGCAGCCACUGUCACCUUUGUCCAUGCACCUCCCGCCACAACCACCGGAUUUCGCCAUAUCACCACAUCCACCGCCACAUCCUCCACUCCCGCCACAACCACCAGAUUUCGCCAUAUCACCACAUCCACCGCCACAUCCUCCACUCCCGCCACAACCACCAGAUUUCGCCAUAUCACCACAUCCGCCGCCACAUCCUCCACUCCCGCCACAACCACCGGAUUUCGCCAUGUCACCACAUCCACCGCCACAUCCUCCACUCGCGCCACAACCACCGGAUUUCGCC